ACACGCCGCGAGCUAAGCAGAAAAGGGAGGCAGGCUGCCCCGACACCCCACUACUCACCGCUAGGUUUCCGUCUGGCGCCGAUCCGGCUGCGUCACGCCGGCCGAACGACACCCCGCUGAGUCGCCGCCGCAGGGAAGGUACCUUCGGCCCCAACGGGAAAAGCCAAUUUCCAGUAAUUCGCGCCCGACCACCGGGGAGUGAAUGUUUCCCUCUGAGGAUGAAGAUCACUAUAAACAACUCUGAUGAGAUCAUGCUGACACAAUGCCCCUUCUGUCAAAGCCAUGGAUCCAAUUGUUGAAGGCUACAAAAAUAAGGUAUUUGUGAAAAUGAUAUGCUAAAUUUUGUUUAAGAGAAAUAUACAACUCCCCCUGGGGCUAUUUGAAACAACGAAGUGCUGGGGAGGGAAAGAAGGAAAAACAGAAAAGAAUAUAUGGAUGACUCCCACUGUGAUUAAGAAAAACUGAGAACCACAGAAAAGGAAGAACACAGACAUCGAGGGAAUCAAAAGGAGUCCAAAGCCUAGGGUUACAUUUCUGACAUAUAACUGAGCAUUUUUCUAUAGUAUACUAAUUUUGCACUGUCAAAAGAUAACUGAACCACAGCACCAAUAAGUUAUGUCAACAACUUGUCAAACAUGACACUUUGCAAAAUGUUUGUUUCAUGUGUCCCAUUAUUGAAUUUUAUUACACUAAACACAUUAAUAAAAAUGAUAGCUUAAUGCUAAGCAUAAUCUAAAACACCAAAUUCCAUUAUUAAAUCAACAAACAUUUACUAAGUAUCUGCUGGUAAGCACUAUAGGAAACACAGUGAUAUAUAACAAAUUUCCUACUUGAAAAGAAAAAACAAUCAGGCAAGUUAGGAAAGUAGAGAAUUUUAUUCCUAGAUCAAUUUUCAUUUUUUUAAACCCACUUUUAAUUUUGAUGGUAAUAAUAAUGGACAUUUAUAAACACCUUAUGCAACAUAAUGAAUUCUUCAAGUUGUUUUUAGUCCUACUAACAAUGUUUUCUUUUUUAUGGAUGAGGCAACUGAAGUCAAGAUAUUAAGUAACUUGCCCAAAUUUAAAACACCUAAUAAGUGGCAGGGCAUGGUUCUGAACUGAAUGCAAGUCAUUCUAAAGCCCUUGCUCCUUCCUUCAGACUUCUAGAGAUGGAAAUGUUUGCUAAUGAUUUUUUAAAGUAACUAAGAGAGGAGUGAGCACUGGUACAGAAGAAUAUUUAUCAUGAGAUUCAAUUUUCUUGUACCUUAUUACCUUUCAGUUAUACAACUAAACUUUAUUAUGUGGAAUUUUGUUUAUAAUGUAUACUAAAUACACAAAAUAUAAGACUUCAAGGUGAAGAAAUUUCAAUACCAAUGGUCCUUAACUGGACAUCAUGAGAAAAAAAUAGAAUAAUAAUGUUUAUGGUACUUAAUUCCUUAGAAGAAAACAGUUUCAUAAACAAUGUACUAUCAAAUAUAUAAUAUAUUAUCAAAUAACUAUUAACAAAUUUACAACUUUUAUGACAAAUAACACUGUGGUUUCUCAAUUGCUACCCCACUCAACGACUCCAAGAUACAUUCAUAAAAUUCACGAUUCUUUAUUGAUGAGUUCAGGUAACUGCCCAAUUUUGUAGAGGCACAUGAGAAUGGAAAUAUGAUGCUGUGCUAUUUUGCUUCCUUGCACUGCGCAAGAAAAGGUGCCUUGUGCUGCCCAAGUCUUCAGAAAGGUGCAACACAGAUGAUCCCAUGUUCCUAAACUCUCUCACCUUUUUACCUUGCUUCCUACAGUCUUUGUAACCUUUCUAGCAUACCCUCCCCAUCUUGCAGAAGUAAUCAAGUCUCAAUCUUCAAGUUCCAUGUAAAGCCCCUAGUAUCUCAGAAGUGUUUAUGGUUUUUCUCCCCCUAGUUUCCACUGUGUUCUUACUAAGAUUUUAAAAAUCCUAACAUGCUAUAAUACUAUAUGGACUUUUUCCCUGUAACUGAUGUCCUCCCCUCAGAGAAACAGAAAUUUCAUGUCCAUUUGCCUCACUCUUCUCAAUUAUGUAUAUAGCCUUUAACAUAUAAGAAGUGGUGAUUAAAUUCAAUUUAUAAUUCAAAAGUCUCUCUGCACACCACCAUAAGAUUCAUUUUCCUAAUAUAUAAUACAAUUCUUCUGUUCAAAACCCUCUAAUUGCUUUAAAGAGAACCUAAACCUAAACUCUUCACUUUAAAAAGAUUCUCCAAAACUGACACAAAAUUGUCUUUUCCAGCUUGCAUAUAUACUCUGUGCUUCAAACAGAACUACUUUCUAUUUCCAGGACGUGACUUGACUCUCCUGCCUCUCUGCUUAUGUUCAAUUGAUAGCUGCUUCCAGAAACCUCACCGGCUCCUCAUCUCAACAGGCCAAAACUAUACCUCUUCAUAAGACCCAGCUUAGAUGGCAUCACCUCAAUAAAGCCUGCCAUGAUAACUUCAGCUAACAUCUGAGUUUCUCUCUAAAAUCCUCUUAUUAUACAAACCACAUUAUUAGUUAUCUAUAAACAUGUCUUUUCGAACACAGCAGGAGUUUCCUAAAAGCAGGUGCCACACAUGUAAUUCUCCAUAUUUUCAGUGUCCAACUCAAUGGCAUACAUCCAAAAACAUUCAUAAAUAUUGGUCAAAUAAAACAAUUUGAAGAUAUAAAUAAAAUAUUAAUAAUACAAUCAAUUAUAGUAGUUUUACAUACUUUAUAAAAUACAUUAUCAAAAAAAUGCAUUAUCAAUAUCUACCCCUGUACUCAACCUAAUUAGUUCAAACAAGUUACACUUAUAGACAUUUGAAUUGUUUUUUCUUUUUUUGAGACAGGGUCUUGCUCUCUUGCCCAGGCUUGAGCACAGUGGCACAAUCAUGGCUCACUGCAUCCUCGAUGUCCUCGGCUCCAGAGAUCUUCCCAUCUCAGUAUCCUCAGUAGCUGGGACUACAGGCAUAUGCCACCAUGCCCAGCUAAUUUUUUAUAGAGACGAGGUUUGGCCAAGCUGCCCAGGCUGGUCUCAAACUCCUGGGCUCAAGUGAUCCUCCCACCUUGGCCUCCUAAAGUGCUGGAAUUACAGGCAUGAGUCACUACAUCCGGCCUCAAUUUAUUUAUUAUUUUUAAUUUUUUUUUUUUUUUGAGACGGAGUCUCACUCUUUCACCCAGGCUGGAGUGCAGUGGUACAAUCUUGGCUCACUGCAACCUCUAACUCCUCAGUUCCAGCAAUUCUCCUGCCUCAGCCUCCCAGGUAGCUGGGAUUACAGGAACACACCACCAUGCUCAGCUAAUUUCUGUAUUUUUAGUAGAGACGGAGUCUCACCAUGUUGGCCAGGCUGGUCUCGAACUCCUGACCUCAAGUGAUAUGCCUGCCUUGGCCUCCCAAAAAUGCUGGGAUUACAGGCAUGAGCCACUGCGCCUGGCCAAUUUAUUUUUCUCUAAACAUUCCUUAAGUAUUAUUUCAGAGGACCUUAAAAAAUACUUAAAAUUUCCCAAACUGUCAUCUUCAACUUACCAAAUUGUAAAUUCCUAACAGAAGUGCUUCAAUGCAACCAUUACUCUGUCUGUCUCGGCUAACUGUAAGCCGUAAAUAAACCCACAUCAAUUCUGGCAAGAACUGCAGUGUGAACCUCUUAAGUCGAACCUCUGAGCUACGAUAGAGCUCAAACAGCUGAUGGCAGACAGGCUCCAGGAGCUAAAAGGAAAAUAAAGUGCACUGGUCAUUUCAAUUCUUUUGGUUGUAACUGUUGUUUUUUUUUUUUUAAGGCACCUAUAUCUGUAUAAUAUUUUUAAAAGUCUUAAUAUUAAUUUCUCCACAUUUUAAUUUAACCAAAACCUUUGUGUAAAGAGACCACAUAUUAAACUGACCAAUCCACUAACUAUAAGAAGUAUUUUGUGCCCAUACAUCAAUGUACCUUUCAGUAUACUGUACUACUAAAUUUACUAGAUUAUUAGUCCUUUAGCCAAUGUACUACAUUUAUAUUUGAGAAGAAUUUUCCUUUCUAUUCUUAUCAACUCUAUCUUCCAUUUCAAAAACUUUCCAUUGAAAUAAAAUAAUUUUGCAUAAUAUUGCUGGGAAUAAACUUAAAAUCUCAACUGAGACUAUGAUUUAAGCAAAUUAUAUACCACUCUUACUGAAAAAUGUGUGUUGAUACAGAAUUUUCUAAGAGUCAUGCUGUUGGGCAAAGCAACUCUGUUUUUCAACCACUGCUAAUCAGUUUCUGACAGUCAAAAAUUCUGUACAUAUUUUGGAAUCAGAAGAAUCCUAUGUAAAUCAUUUGUUACUUAAAUCUGUGAAAAACAUGUUUCUUUGGAGGAAAAUGUAUGCAUUUGUAAGUGUUCUGUGGAAUCAGUUUUCAUUGUAUUGAUGUCAUUGUCUCUAAGUGCUCAGUGUCUUCACUGCAAUAUGAAAUUUAUUAAAGCAUCCACAUUCCAUUUUAAAAAAACUUAUAUACCACUCAGUAGAAGAAGGGAUUUUGCAAUACAUAUUUGUGCAUCCAAAAUUCUAGCUAAUAUUUAAAAUACAUACAAGUGAGGCAAACUAUUUUAAAACUGACUUAAAUUUUUCUUAUUGUAUUUAUGUGAAAGAUUUUAUAAAGGAGAAAAGUAUCCAGAAAUAGCUUUUUCAGUGUUCAAUUGGCUAAUUUUUCAUACGAUAUCACACAAUAUGACUUAUGAGGAACUUCAUGACCUAGAAAACUGAAGAAAAUGAGCAGUUAAAAUAAACUUUCCCACUUUUCCCUAAAUAUGUACUGCCAAUUUAGAAUGGGUUUGCUGGAGUAACCGUAGGCUGCAGAAAACUGGCUAUGACUUUAAAAUUCAUAUAAAAUAUUGACAAGAAACUAUAAAGUAAUUUUUAAAGUUUAAUACUAACUCUUUAAAAAAAAAGAAUAAUAGUUCAGUAAUUUCAUGUACUUUCCUCUAUUCUAAAUGAUUAAAAUAAUGCAUAUACAUUUGGAAAUCUGUUUGAAUAUAGUUACAUACAUCUGUAAUAAUCUAACACUCUACAAUAAAAAGUCACUGUCAUGAUUAUAAAAAGUUAACAAAUCCAUGUCAAUUAUACAGUUAACAUAUUUAGAAGAGUUAGGCUUAGCUCUGGAAGAAUUCUAAAGCUUAAAAAAUUUACAUACAUAUACAUCCUAGUCUAGUAAAUACUAAGCCCUUUAUGUGAAAUCACUAUCAGAACAGUUUUUAAAAUCUUAAAAAAUUUUCCAGAGGCUGGGUGUGGAGGUACACAUCCAGCUAUUCACAAGGUUGAAGAGGGUGGAUAGCUUGAGCCCAGGAGUUUGAGGCUGCAUUGAACCAUGACAGCAUCACUGCACUCCAGCCUGGGUAACAGAGCAAGACUGACACAAAAGAAAAAUAUUCCAACUCUUCCCUUACAUUGAAGUCUAGACCAGUCAGACAAUUUGUCAAAGGUUGGUGAAGUUAAUGGUGAAAUAAGACACUAAAUUCAGGUCUUCUGACAUCAAGUUGAUGUUUCCACUCUACCGCACUUCUUAUAUUAGAAUGGAGGUAUAGAUUGUUUAAUCACAAAACAGUGUAUUCUAUGUAGUGCCAAUAAUGAACAAGUAAUAAACUUUUGGAAACUGUCA
rnacentral:lncRNA from 1 species